UACCCCGUGGUGCAAUGGGUCAACACGUUUGGCUGUUAACCAGAAGGUUGGUGGUUCUAGCCCACGCAGAGGUAG